rnacentral:rRNA from 1 species
AAAGCGUGCGCAGGCGGUUAUGUAAGACAGAGGUGAAAUCCCCGGGCUCAACCUGGGAACUGCCUUUGUGACUGCAUAGCUAGAGUACGGUAGAGGGGGAUGGAAUUCCGCGUGUAGCAGUGAAAUGCGUAGAUAUGCGGAGGAACACCGAUGGCGAAGGCAAUCCCCUGGACCUGUACUGACGCUCAUGCACGAAAGCGUGGGGAGCAAACAGGAUUAGAUACCCCUGU